CCUACGGGUGGCAGCAGUGAGGAAUAUUGGUCAAUGGACGCAAGUCUGAACCAGCCAUGCCGCGUGCAGGAAGACGGCCCUAUGAGUUGUAAACUGCUUUUGUACGGGGCUAAACGCAGAUACGCUUAUCUGUAUGAUAGUACCGUAUGAAUACGGAUCGGCUAACUCCGUGCCAGCAGCCGCGGUAAUACGGAGGAUUCAAGCGUUAUCCGGAUUUAUUGGGUUUAAAGGGUGCGUAGGCGGUCUGUUAAGUUAGAGGUGAAAGUCCGAGGCUCAACCUCGGAAUUGCAUCUGAUACUGGUAGGCUUGAGGGCAGUUGCGGUAGGCGGAAUGCGUGGUGUAGCGGUGAAAUGCUUAGAGAUCAUACAGAACACCGAUUGCGAAGGCAGCUUACUAAGCUACUACUGACGUUGAGGCUCGAAAGCGUGGGGAGCAAACAGGAUUAGAUACCCUGGUAGUC
rnacentral:rRNA from 1 species